rnacentral:rRNA from 1 species
AGUGAACGCUGGCGGCAGGCCUAAUACAUGCAAGUCGAACGGCAGCACAGUGGAGCUUGCUCCAUGGGUGGCGAGUGGCGGACGGGUGAGGAAUACAUGGGAAUCUGCCCAGUCGUGGGGGAUAACGUAGGGAAACUUACGCUAAUACCGCAUGCGCCCUUCGGGGGAAAGCCGGGGACCUUCGGGCCUGGCGCGAUUGGAUGAGCCCAUGUUCGAUUAGCUAGUUGGCGGGGUAAAGGCCCACCAAGGCGACGAUCGAUAGCUGGUCUGAGAGGAUGAUCAGCCACACUGGGACUGAGACACGGCCCAGACUCCUACGGGAGGCAGCAGUAGGGAAUAUUGGACAAUGGGCGCAAGCCUGAUCCAGCCAUGCUGCGUGAGUGAAGAAGGCCCUCGGGUUGUAAAGCUCUUUUGUCCGGGAAGAAAAGCAUCGGGCUAAUACCUCGGUGUUCUGACGGUACCGGAAGAAUAAGCACCGGCUAACUUCGUG